UCUACGUGUCUUGAAUUGAGCAAAUUGGACUGAUACGCGUCGCACAGUGGGAGGGAACAGGGAUGUUAAAACGGACCUUAACGGGUUCACCAUAAAUAUGCAAGCCUGUCAUCCGUUUAGUUCUUUGUAAUUAUAAACGGGUUCAUACAUGGUUUAUCUUUUAAGGCCGGUUUAUAAACGGCGUAGCUCCAAUAUAAAUAGGUAUCCUUUUAUUUUUUUUCUUACAAAAUAUAUGAAACGAUGCCGUUUUAUUAGAUUUUCUACAUCUCCUUCUCAAGUCUUCGAGUUCUUCUCUCCUUAAACUCAUCGUAGAUUAAAUCUAGAAGGUACUUUGUAUAUCUUUUGUUGGUUUGCUCUAAAACAUAUAAUGUGUUGACUGGAGUAACUUAGGCUUAUGGAAGAUACUGAUGGCAAUGUCUGAAACAUUAUACAUCAUUGUUCUCACCUAGUUGUAUGUUUUUUGUUCAUACAUCAUCAACAUCGCUCGGACAUUUUAAGCUAUAUGAUAGAGGCACGAACAUUCUUAUUGUUUCGGUUUCUAGCUUUUUAUAUAUCUUAUCUUAACAUUCUUUUGUGUAUUUUCACGAUGGAUUUAGAGUUUCUCGAUACAAUUGCAAUCCUUGAUGCUCAAAGGGAUUACAUGGACAUGAAUGAAGAAGAUGCUUUGAAUGAUGAAAAAUGCAAUGAGUGAGGGAGAUGCAGAAAUGCAAGAACCAGAACAAAUUUGAAGAGUUAUGUUGACUGAGUUUUAUAUCGAUGCUGGAACUUGGUACAUGUUGAUGUGAAGAGCAUACGAUGUUGUGUGUAACACAAGAAAUACAAAGAAAUGGUAGUGUGUGUGGAACACAAUAAUGACACGAGAGUUGUCAUGACCGAGACUGAGACAUGAGGCUGUGACACAUAUAUAAUCAUGGUGUGUCGUUGAAGCUAAGAUACAUCAUCUUGAGUAUUAUAAGAAGAGAGAAAAGCCAUGUGGGCUUUGUCUCAAAGAUGAGGCCAACUAAUAAGAACUUGAGGAGAUUUAGGGUUUACUCGGUUGGAGUAUAAAGAGAACGAGACGGUAACAUGAUACGGUUACGUGUCUAGGAUUUAUUGAAGAUCCACAUGGAUGUGUGUGAGGUCGUUCUACCAUACAGUUGAGAGAUCUGUUGGUAGUUUUUGCUAUAGAGAACUAUACUCGGCGGAGAAGAUUAUAUUACUCAAAUUACCCUAAGGAGUGAUUUUACUCUCUCAAAUAAGAGGUUAAAUUGUAGUACUUAGGGAUCAAAUCCACAUGGAGCUAGGGCACACAAUAGACUAUAGAAAUUAAGGUUAAGUUAGGUGAUCAAUAUUAAAACAGUAAACAAAGCAGUAAGCAGGGUGAACAAUACAGUUGUUCGAUUGAUUGAUUGAGGUUUCUAAACAAUAAAGUGAAAACACUAGACCUAGGGAUCUAUCAAUCCAGAGAUUCAAAACUACAAUCAAGGAUGUAAAUGGUUUUAUAGAUUCAUUCUAGAACUUGAAUUCAUUAGCAAGUAAUCCAGCUUCUGCAUGCAAUUUUACUAGUCAGAUGUCUAAAUACUAUGUUCCAGCCAUCGCAUGCAAACAAAGAACGAGUAUCGAUCUAUGCAAUCGGUUAAGCGUCGAUCGAUACUACUUCAGAUGGGAAUUAUCGCACAGAUCAAUAAUGUUCAAUUAGAUCUAGAACAACUCUCGUAUGUGCCUAGAUAUCUAAUCCACUCAAGGUACAUGUUCCGUUAAUCAAUUGCACUUUCGUAUCUCUCAAUUAUCUUAUGAUUCUAGGUUCAAACAAUCAGUCACACUGUCGUGCUUUUCUAACUACUCCAAUUCCUAAUAUUACAAGCUACCCUGGUUUAGAAAUCAGUAAAAAACCCUAGCAAUCCUAACAGAUUCAGUUUGACAUUAAGCUCAUGAAACCCCUAAAUCUAACAGGGUGAUUAUUCAUACAUGAUAGAAGAAACACAAAACAUAGUCCAAAUAAAUAAAAGAAAAGAAAGCAAUGGUAAAACCAAUGGAGUUCCAAUCAAUAUCUGAAGGAGAAUUUAUCUUCUCUCCAACCCUAAAACAAGAAUAAAGAAUAAUAGUAUGCGUAGCCGUCAACAAUGGCUUAGAAAACACAUAAGUAGGGUUCUGAGUCGUCCAUGGGUAUUAUGGUAACUUGUGGUAACUUCUAGGCUUAAGUUGUUCUUGAAAUAGGCUCGGCCCACAUUCUGGCAUCACCGUCGAUCGCCACCAAGGGUGCACCAACGAUCGACAUUCCAUUCAUCUCCUCGACAACUUUAUCUCGCGAGGCAGACAUACCACUCUUCAGUAAAACGGGCAUAACAUCUGAUCUAACCGUUGGAUUGACCUCCAAUCGGUGGCAUUGGAAAGCUAACUCAAAGCUCUAUCGUGUGUCAAAAUAUGGGCGCAAUAUCACUAUGGAAAGGUCUCCAUCCAUAUCAAAACAUCUGACACGUCUAUGCAGUUCUGCACCUCAAAAGGCUCCAAAAUCACCAAAGUUCUCCAAAACGUACCUGAACCUGAAAAUACUCUAAAAUAUACUCCAAACCCAUAUAAUAUACUCUAAAACACUCAUAUACCAUGGCUAAAAAUGGAUAAAAUCCAUGGUAUAUCAGAAGACAAUGAGUAGUAGUUGCUCUCAUCAUUGUAAUUCUAAAUUAGAGUGGUAGGCACGUGUGUGGAUACCAUAUAGCAAUGGUUUGAUGCGGCCUUUUCUAUGAAUGAGUUCUGGACGUGGUCCCGGGGAUGUAGGAAACGAACCUCGUUAACAAAUGUGUACUUUAUUUAGGUUUAGCCACAUAUCCUAUUUUUACAAUUGGUAUCAGAGCGGGUUGCCGCUAGAGUUUGUUUCGGGUAGCUCAUGGAUUUGUGGCUAUGAGUAUGAUAUCAAACGAAGAAAAAGAGGAAGAGAAACAUAGAUGAUUUCAUAUGCACAUGAUCUUGGUUAAAGUAAGGCGAUAUAUCAAGAGGAGCCUUGGGGUUUAUUGAUUCUCGGUAGUCGAAACUGAAGUUUGCAACGAGUUAGGGUUUUGAUGAAGAACUCAUGAGAAUUCAAAAACAUGGUUUGGUGUUCACUGUUUUCAUGCAAAGGAUGAAUGUAAUCCCUUCUUAACCACUAUGGACUUUCAGUUCUCUGUUAAUGCAUGCUAAAGAUCAAUGGAAGCUUGUGAUGUAGAAGUUUGUGUGAAAGAAAUAAAAAAGAGGACGGAAGAUUUGAAUAAAUAAAGAAGAGAGAUGGAGACACGUGUUCGUGGGAGAUUAAGAGAAGAGAAGACUUUUUCGAAGGAAGAUUUCAAAUAAGUGAAGAUAAGAAGAUGAGGACACGUGUACGAGAGAGAUUGAAGGACAAUGAGAGUUUUUUACAGAGCUAACAACUCGUAUAAAACUCUGUUUACGAUUCAUUUUUACAUUUUUCAUCCAAGAAAUUGUGUAGAACUCUCUCUCUAAAACUUUGUAAUUCAGUACUUCUCAAUUCAAUCUGAAGAUUGAUUCUCUUGCGGUUUCUUCGAUUGAUUGAGUAGGAAUCAUCGUUUUAUGAACAUCAAUUCCUGUGGCGAUUGUGAAUCACGGUUUAUCUCUAUCAAAGGUAUCAUAAGCUGCGUCAUCCUCGGAGACAAUGGCGGAAACAAGAUCUCAAUAAUCCUUGAAAGAUGCAGUAGUGAAGGAAACUUCAGAGGCGAUUGGCUCGCAGAUCGAACGUCGCGUUAAUGUUUGAGGCGAUCAAGUUCAUUAUGGAGAAAAUGGAGAAGGCGAUCAACAGCAUCGAACAUUUUCAACACGAUGAAGUAUCGGGAGCACCUAUGAUGCAGGAAAUCAACAAUCAAAUACCCGAUCAGCCUCGUUCUUUCAGAUCUGAAAGAAAGAACCAAAGGAAGUGACAAAACAGGUUCAAUGAUGAUGAGAAGUGGCUCAGAAGUGGUGAUCGUCCUUCACCAAAGCCAAGAGAAGCAACCGUGAUGUGUUUGAUCAGAAUGAGCUUCAAACUUAUUUCAGCUUGGAGAAGAUGUUGCAUAAGGAAAUUCAUGCUAUCCGGCAACCCAAAAAGAAGGGAAACACCAACACUUCUCCUGCACCAAAAUAGCAAAGUAAUUUUUCUUCUCUUUCAAAUUCUGAUUUGAAAACUAAUGUGUUGUCUUUUGAUAAAAGCAAAGCUGUGAAACCCACAAGCAAAUCUCAUUCUACCAGGUGCUUCAAAUGCCAUAGGAUCGGUCAUUAUGCUAACAAGUGUCAAAAGCAAAGACCGUUGGUGACUUUGGAGAAUGAGAACAUUGAAACCGAGCCAGAAAAGGAAGACCUAUUGCCAAUUUUCGAUGACUUCACAUAUGAGCCAAUGGAGGGGCUAGAUGAAGAACAAAUUCGUGGUCAUCAAGCCUACCAAGAAGAAUCAUCUUCCAUUCAAAAAACGGACCGAACUCAAGGUAAGCAUUGUGCUGAUUAUGGUUCUUUUGCUUAUAAUCCUUUUCCUUUUAAUGUUUCAGAUUUGAGGGAAAAUAUUUUUGAAGAAAGAGAGAAUGAUGUGCUCCGGUUCGUGGAUCAGUCCAUUGGAGCAGACCAGCAUGGAAAUUUGGACGUUCUGAACAAUUUUACCGAGGUUCGUUCAUCCGUCCGUACCGAUCAGACUGACCGAGCCGUCCCGCGUGCGUCCCGAUUGGAGCUUUGGCUGGAACCACGACCAGACGACCGAACUGACCGUACCAGAGCUCGUCUUCCCCAACCAACUCGACAUCCUAAGACCCACGGUCGAGCCAGGCUUAGCUUGGGUCGUGAAGAAACCGAAGACGGACAUGCAUUCUCAUCCGGCGGACCAUCCGGACAGUCCCGCAAGCGUCCUUAUCUUUACCCCGUGCAUCUAUCUGGUUCGGAAGAACCCGGACAUUAUCUGAAGGGCCAUCUUUGACCAAUCUGCAUGAAAGAAUGAGUCUUUGACUCAUUAAUUCAGAUCUGGUCAAAUUUGUAUUUUCUAUGCCUUAUUUUCCGUGUAUUUUCUUUAUUAGUCUUUGACUACAAACAAUAUAAAUAUGUAGUCUCAUUCUAUGAAUAAAAUUAGUCUAUGUUUUUUGAGUUUA